GAUGAACGCUGGCGGCGUGCCUAAUACAUGCAAGUCGAGCGAACAGACGAGGAGCUUGCUCCACUGACGUUAGCGGCGGACGGGUGAGUAACACGUGGAUAACCUACCUAUAAGACUGGGCUAACUUCGGGAAACCGGAGCUAAAACCGGAUAAUAUAUUGAACCGCAUGGUUCAAUAGUGAAAGACGGUUUUGCUGUCACUUCUAGAUGGAUCCGCGCUGCAUUAGCUAGUUGGUAAGGUAACGGCUUACCAAGGCGACGAUGCGUAGCCGACCUGGGAGGGGGUUCGGCCACACUGGAACUGAGACACGGUCCAGACUCCUAGGGGAGGCAGCAGUAGGGAAUCUUCCGCGAUGGGCGAAAGCCUGACGGAUCAGCGCCGCGUGAAUGAUGAAGGUCUUCGGAUCGUAAAACUCUGUUAUUAUGGAAGAACACAUGUGUAAGUAACGAUGCUCGUCGUGACGGUACCUAAUCAGAAAGCCACGGCUAACUACGUG
rnacentral:rRNA from 1 species